rnacentral:lncRNA from 1 species
CCUACAGACUGGAGACAUGACAACAUAGUGGAGGCCUGCAGACUGGAGUCAUGACAACAUAGGGGGGGCCUACAGACUGGAGACAUGACAACAUAUUGGAGGCUAACAUACUGAAGACCUAUUGAUUGGAGACAUGACAACAUAGUGGAGGUCAACAGACUGGAGUCAUGACAACAUAGUGGAGUCCUGCAGACUGGGGAUAUGACAACAUAGUGGAGGCCUACAGACUGGAGUCAUGACAACAUAGUGGAGGCCUACAGACUGGGGAUAUGACAACAUAGUGGAGGCCUACAGACUGGAGACAUUACAUCAUAGUGGAGGACUACGGACUGGGGACAUGACAUUACAGUGGAAGACUACAGACAUGGCAACAUAGUGGAGGCCUACAGACUGGAGACAUUACAAAAUAGUGAAGACUAACAGACUGGAGACAGGACAACAUAGUGAAGGCCUACAGACUGGAGACAUUACAAAAUAGAAGAGGGCUACAAACUCGAGACAUUACAACAUAGUGGAGAACUACAGACUGGAGUCAUGACAACAUAGUGGAGGCCUGCAGACUGGGGAUAUGACAACAUAGUGGAUACCUACAGACUGGAGACAUUACAACAUAGUGGAGGCCUGCAGACUGGUGACAUUAAAACAUAGUGGAGGCCUGCAGACUGGAGACAUUACAUCAUAGUGGAGGACUACGGACCGGGGACAUGACAUUAUAGUGGAGGACUACGGACUGGGGACAUGACAUUAUUGUGGAAGACUACAGACAUGGCAACAUAGUGGAGGCCUACAGACUGGAGACAUUACAUCAUAGUGGAGGCCUACAGACUGGAGACAUUACAUCAUAGUGGAGGACUACGGACUGGGGACAUGACAUUAUAGUGGAAGACUACAGACUACAGACAUGGCAACAUAGUGGAGGCCUACAGACUGGAGACAUUACAUCAUAGUGGAGGCCUACAGACUGGAGACAUUACAUCAUAGUGGAGGACUACGGACUGGGGACAUGACAUUAUAGUGGAAGAUUACAGACAUGGCAACAUAGUGGAGGCCUACAGACUGGAGUCAUGACAACAUAGGGGGGGGCCUACAGACUGGAGACAUGACAACAUAGUGGAAGCUAACAGACUGAAGACCUAUUGAUUGGAGACAUGACAACAUAGUGGAGGUCAACAGACUGGAGUCAUGACAACAUAGUGGAGUCCUGCAGACUGGGGAUAUGACAACAUAGUGGAGGCCUACAGACUGGAGUCAUGACAACAUAGUGGAGUCCUGCAGACUGGGGAUAUGACAACAUAAUAGAGGCCUAUUGACUGGAGACAUUACAUCAUAGUGAAGGACUACGGACUGGGGACAUGACAUUAUAGUGAAGGACUACGGACUGGGGAAAUUACAUCAUAGUGGAGGCCAACAGACUGGAGACCAGCAGACUGGAGACAUGACAAC